ensembl:snRNA U6 U6 spliceosomal RNA
GUGCUUGCUUGGGCAGCACAUAUACUAAAAAUUGGAACGAUACAGAGAUUAACAUGGCCCCUGCACAAGGAUGACACACAAGUUCAUGAAGCGUUCUAUAUUUUU